GCCGGGAUAGCUCAGUUGGUAGAGCAGAGGAUUGAAAAUCCUCGUGUCACCAGUUUUUUGAGUAGGUCGGGGCUCUGUCUCGGCC